rnacentral:rRNA from 1 species
CCCUUAGAUGUUCUGGGCUGCACCCGUGCUACACUGGCAGGUUCAGCGAGCUUCAUGCCCUGAUCUGAAAGGAAUGGGAAAUCUUUUCAAAACCUGCCGUGCUUGGGAUGGAUGUUUGCAAUUAUUCAUCUUCAACGAGGAUUGCCUUGUAAGCGCACGUCAUCAGCGUGCAUUGAAUACGACCCUGUAUUCUGUACACACCGCCCGUCGCUCCUACCGAUUGAAGUUUUCGGUGAGUUGACAGGAGGAUAUUUUUGAAACUGGUUCGCCAGUGGAUUUUAGAUCCAAAUGCCAACGAAUCGAUGGCUUUAGAGGAAGGAGAAGUCGUAACA